rnacentral:tRNA from 1 species
GCCUGGGUGGCUCAGUCGGUUAAGCUCCCGACUUCAGCUCUGGUCAUGAUCUCGCGGACUGUGGGUUCGAGUCCCACGUGGGGCU